AUGGAUCGCGGGGAAAGACCAGGAACUUGCUUUUGUAGGCUACAGUCCAAGCUACAGUAUGUCUUCCAAUGGUCCAACUUUAAUAAACGCUUGGAGGUAAGGAAGACAGCAGUGGUGUAGCCUAACUGCGAUACGGAUAUCGCGUAGACCUAUUAUAGGCUACAUAGCGCAUUCAUUUAGCAAUUUGUGUUUUUUGUGGAUAGCUGUCAACAAAUGUAUAUGUGUAUUUUAACCCAAUAAUGGUUAAACUGAAGAAAUGUAAGCUGCCAAUCGUUGUUUUUGCGACCAGGGGUGUCGCCUAUUCCUUAAGGAAACCAUUUACCGUUUAAGAACCAAACGGAAGAAAAUGGAGCAAAAUGAGAGUUUCUAUUGGACAAAUGCAGGUAUGUCCCGCCCCGUUUGUUUCCGUAUAAGGAUAUUUUUACAACAGAAUCGGUGUAAUGAAUCAGCCCCGGUGGAAAAUGCGCUCCUGCAAAAGCGGAUCUCAGCCUAUGGAAUAAAGAUCCCUCCAUGGUGUAGCAAGAAAUUCAGGUUGCUGGCAACCGAGAGGUUCGGAGUUCUAAUCCCAUUGAGAUGAACUUCUAAGAAAUCAGAAUUCCAAGAAAUCAGAACCACACCCAUCACUAUCAUAUUUCCCAGCAUGAUGUAUUGCAGUUGUCUGUUUUUUUCAAUAUCUGUGUUUUUGCAUGUACAUUGACUGAUUAAUACAUGAAUUAAUCUAAUGUUACACCUUUCAUACAUUUAUAAACAAGUUGGACUUCCACCUGUUACUGAAA